CUAAUUCCUACCUCCUGCCAAAAGCAUCUAGAAUGACAAUACAUUUAUUAUUUACGGCGUAUUUAUCGUAAAUGAUGCUUGAAUUAAUCAAUACUGGUAUUUACGGUUCACAGACUAUCAGUCUUCAAUCUUCAGCCUACAGUAGGCUGUAGGCUCUGCACAGAGAAGAAGUAUUCCUUCUACUUUGUGGCCUACUACUGGUAUAAUGGAGAAUGCAGGGAUGGUCUACAUAGGUGGGGAGAGGGACGCAGACUGAGUCAUUGGAAUAAUAUGUUGGAUGGGGGCGAGAAAUCCAAUUUGUGGGUACUCACAAUCGUUUCUCUCUUGUUAAUCGAGCCAGAUUCUCCAGAUGUUCGGCAGUUAUUCCAUUCUCAAUGAGAAAAUCAGACCAGAGUUCUUUGCUAUCUGAACUUGGAAUUAAAAUGUCAGCGAAUACUUCUAGCUUGCUGAGUGCUUUGAUUUCAUCAUCAGAUCGAGCAGAACUUGGUUCCUCAGCUACUGCCACCAGAGUUUGUUAUUGAGAGCCCCUAAGCCAGAGGCCAGCAAUCGAUGAAUUAGCGCGGCCGAGUAGUCAAAAGAGCAGGCAGCCACUAGCCACGCGAUUAAUGAAGUGUGCAUGAAUAGACAGUCCCCUUCAUACAGGGGUGACUUCGGCUAUCUUUCAAUGGGAGUAGAGCGUGCACUGCAGACAGCCUUCCAUUGAUAUUAUGCAUUCAAUAAACGCUUUCUUCACGGAAAUACAGUGUACGUAGUAGAGCUUUAAGUAUAUUGACUCCAUUAUGUGAAUUAGUUUGUGUUUUAUUUCUGGUUCAAAAUUUGUCUUAAUAACUCAAUAUUUUCAAGUUUUGAGAGUUUAUUGAAUGUAAUCAUUCUAUUAUAUUCAGUUUUUAAUCAAAUCAAUUUCAAAAUUUCUAGUUUAUUUAUUUCUGGACUGAAAAGUGGACUCAAAUCAAUUCAAGUGAUUAUAGCAUAACCUAUAAUUUUUAUUCAUUCAUAACUCUACCUUCAUUGUAUUAUCAUUCAUCCCAUCAUCAUCACCUAGGCUUAAAAUACUUCUAGAAAGUCGCCUUUGUAAAAUAAUAAAUACAUAAAUAAAAUAAAAUUCUCAUUUAUAAUGGAUACAGUGGUGCUGCUAGAAGUUAAUAAUAUUUAUUUAUUUAUAGACCUAUAUUUUUCAUUUAUUUUUUGUAAGGUUUGCGCAGACUAUAGAACCACAGAAUCAAUAACUUAUUCUUGCCCUGUGCGGAAAUGGAGUCAAGAAUAAAAUCAAUGAUUUACAUAAGUUUUUAGA